CCUACGGGUGGCUGCAGUGGGGAAUAUUGGACAAUGGGCGAAAGCCUGAUCCAGCCAUGCCGCGUGUGUGAAGAAGGCCUUCGGGUUGUAAAGCACUUUCAGUGGGGAAGAAAGCCUUGGGGCUAAUACCCUCGAGGAAGGACAUCACCCACAGAAGAAGCACCGGCUAACUCCGUGCCAGCAGCCGCGGUAAUACGGAGGGUGCGAGCGUUAAUCGGAAUUACUGGGCGUAAAGCGCGCGUAGGCGGUCUGAUAAGCCGGUUGUGAAAGCCCCGGGCUCAACCUGGGAACGGCAUCCGGAACUGUCAGGCUAGAGUGCAGGAGAGGAAGGUAGAAUUCCCGGUGUAGCGGUGAAAUGCGUAGAGAUCGGGAGGAAUACCAGUGGCGAAGGCGGCCUUCUGGACUGACACUGACGCUGAGGUGCGAAAGCGUGGGUAGCAAACAGGAUUAGAUACCCCGUGUAGUC
rnacentral:rRNA from 1 species